UACGUUUUAAAUUCUAAUAAGAAAAUUUCUCAGGAAAUCAGUCAGGAGCUGAUAGCUUCCCGUCCCGGUCCACAAAUUUACGUCCCUAUUUUUUCGGUAUCGGUGGUCAUUUUCGGUUCCGUUUCGUGGAUUUACCAGCCGCUUCCACGUACUUGGGUGUGAGACUGAAUCAGCGGCGCGGCACCGGAAUUAAAACAAAGUGUUUUCUUGUUUCCCUCGGAACCAGCAGAAUCAAGUUAAAAAAAAGUUAAAAACUGAACGGCAUCCAAGUACGCACCGUCAGUACAAAGGGCAAACGGGAAGCUGCCUGAUGGUGCUGCUGAUGGGGCAUCCGGAUUCCCAGCCGAGCGAAGUGGCACUAGUAGUGAGGAUCCUGAAGGUAGCCAAAAUUGUUUUAUAAAUGAAGCAACCAUGUAAUAUGUUCAACGUCAAGCUCAACAUCAGUACUCCAGGAAACAAGUUCUCUGUAGAUGUAGAUCAGAAUUUCGAAAACCAAUUUGCGCUUAACAACGGCCGUCGGAUGAUUCAUGGAAUCCAUUGUUUGCAUGUUUUGGAGUUAAAAUAGUGGUUAGUGAAAAGUGGUUUAUUUGGUAUAAUAAAAGAAAAAUGAAAGAAACGAUAAAAUCAACCAAA